UGCGCGUGAAGGAUAGGUCCUCUGGAUUGUAAACUUCUUUUAUAUGGGACGAAAAAAGGUCUUCUAGAUCACUUGACGGUACCAUAUGAAUAAGCACCGGCUAACUCCGCUGCCAGCAGCCGCGGCAAUACGGAGGGUGCAAGCGUAUCCGGAUUCACUGGGCUUUAAAGGGUGCGUAGGCGGGCAGGUCACGUCAGUGGUGAAAUCCUGCAGCUCAACUCCAGAACUGCCAUUGAUACUAUCUGUCUUGACUAUUGUGGACGUAAGCGGACUAUGCUCAUGCUAGCGGUGAAAUGCUUCCAUCUGACAUACAACACCCAUUGCGAAGGCAGCUUACUACGCAUAUAUUGACGCUGAGGCACCACAGCGUGGGGAUCAAACAGGAUCACAUACCCUGGCUAGUCCACGCCCACAACGCAUGGAUACUCGACAUACGCGAUACACUGUGUGUGCCUGAGCGAAAGCAUUAAGUAUCCCACCUGGGAAGUACGUUCGCCAGACUGAAACUCAAAGGAAUCGGCGGGGGUCCGCACAAGCGGCUGG
rnacentral:rRNA from 1 species